rnacentral:rRNA from 1 species
UACGUAGGGUGCAAGCGUUAAUCGGAAUUACUGGGCGUAAAGCAUGCGCAGGCGGUGAUGUAAGACAGAUGUGAAAUCCCCGGGCUCAACCUGGGAACUGCAUCUGUGACUGCAUAGCUAGAGUACGGUAGAGGGGGAUGGAAUUCCGCGUGUAGCAGUGAAAUGCGUAGAUAUGCGGAGGAACACCGAUGGCGAAGGCAAUCCCCCUGGACCUGUACUGACGCUCAUGCACGAAAGCGUGGGGGAGCAAACAGG